rnacentral:tRNA from 1 species
ACUGCCUUGCGGCACGCGCCCUCGAUGAACGCUAUCUGCAGCCGGACAAUGAUUAGAAAGACCAGCUUGCUUCGUAAGAUCGUUCCGAUAGCGAGGCGGUCAAGCUUCGCUAAAAGGAUCAUUUACAACUCGCCUGUCUCUCCAGAAGCAGCCUUGUGAGCUACCCUUGAAAGACGCACGAGCGCCGAAAUGAUCCGGAGAUAAUGAAGUCCCGCGUAGCAAUUGCUUGCUGCACGAUCCAACUCGGAUCGAUCUCCUCUUUACGAUGUCAGAAAUCACGCAACUUGCUGUCUAUCCAGACUAGCAAGAUGCGAAGUGAUGUUUCGCGGACGAUUUAGGUGCACGAUCAGUCGAUGAUCAAACCAUCUGGUGGAGCCAGACGGGAUCGAACCGACGACCUCAUGCUUGCAAAGCACGCGCUCUCCCAGCUGAGCUAUGGCCCCGUAACCAGAAGACGAAUGCUCACUCGAUGAAAGUGGUGGGCCUGGGAAGACUUGAACUUCCGACCUCACGCUUAUCAAGCGCGCGCUCUAACCAACUGAGCUACAAGCCCCUAACGCAUAUCCAGUCAAGGACCAGGGACUCUGCAAACCUGCAGCCCCAGCGCGUGUUCGUCCGCGAAGAAAGAGAAACGAAGACGGCGAAAUCCCGCCAAUGCAGCUCAACAAUCCUGACGAUUGUUGGCCACUGAUGUUUCUAAAACGAUCCGAUAGUGAGCCGAAGCUCGCUGAAGGAUCAUCCUUAGAAAGGAGGUGAUCCAGCC